UAGUGUACUCCUAGUUUUAACUUAACCCAAUUUCCACCAGCUAUUUGUUGCUAUAGGCACUGGAACUUGCUAAGUUAAGGUGGAUGACAGUGCCAUUCAAACGAUAUGCAUGCUUUCGCAGCAAGCUUUGGCUUUAAAGGAGAGGCUCUGAGCUCUAUUUCUGACGCUUCUGUGUUGGAAAAAAUGUUACUAAAGCUCAUGGGAGGCCAAAUGGAUAUCGUAAGGUUUUGAAGGACGGCAAGUGUUUGUACCUUGGAGUUGAUGAUUGUAGACAAGAUGUUGGUACAACAGUCAUUGUUCGUGAUGUAUUUUACGAUCAAGCAGUUCGAAGGAAGCAAAUGCACCCCAACCCAGAGAAUGUCUUGCAUUCUCUGAAAGAGUCUCUGCUCUUGUACAUCCUCUACUUCAAAUUAUUGAUA